rnacentral:rRNA from 1 species
UGUAAGCGUAUACCAAAGUUGUUGCAGUUAAAACGCUCGUAGUCGGAAUUUGGCAGUUCCGGAAGUGUGCACGUCGUGUGCGCACUUUGCGGGGACUGCUUUUGUGGUCUUGCGUAGGAUGAGGCACUUUCAUUAGUGAACGUCCUCACGCGACCACUCUUUACUGUGAGAAAAUCAGAGUGCUCAAAGCAGGCAUUUGCCGUGAAUGUAUUAGCAUGGAAUAAUAGAAUAGGACUCGGUUCUAUUUUGUUGGUUUGUUGGGACUGAGUAAUGAUUAAGAGGGACAGUUGGGGGCAUUUGUAUUCCGGCGCUAGAGGUGAAAUUCUUAGAUUGCCGGAAGACAAACUGCUGCGAAAGCGUCUGCCAAGGAUGUUUUCAUUGA